rnacentral:rRNA from 1 species
GACGUAGGGCGCAAGCGUUGUCCGGAUUUAUUGGGCGUAAAGAGCUCGUAGGCGGCCUGUCGCGUCGACCGUGAAAACCCGCAGCUCAACUGCGGGCUUGCGGUCGAUACGGGCAGGCUGGAGUUCGGUAGGGGAGACUGGAAUUCCUGGUGUAGCGGUGAAAUGCGCAGAUAUCAGGAGGAACACCAAUAGCGAAGGCAGCUCGCUGGGACGUUACUGACACUGAGGCGCGAAAGCGUGGGGAGCGAACAGG